rnacentral:rRNA from 1 species
UACAGAGGUCUCGAGCGUUGUUCGGAUUCAUUGGGCGUAAAGGGCGCGUAGGCGGCGGGGUAAGUCUGGUGUGAAAUCUCGGAGCUCAACUCCGAAAUUGCACUGGAUACUGCUCUGCUAGAGGGCUGGAGAGGAGAUCGGAAUUCACGGUGUAGCAGUGAAAUGCGUAGAUAUCGUGAGGAAGACCAGUGGCGAAGGCGGAUCUCUGGACAGUUCCUGACACUGAGGCACGAAGGCCAGGGGAGCAAACGGG